GGCAUGGUGGUUUAGUGGUUAUGUUUCCUUGCACCUCCAGCAUUGGGGGUUCGAAUCCCCCCUCUGCCC